GUUUUCUUUUUUUCCGACUGAGAUUUGAAUUUUAGAUGUGCUGCUCUUUCCAUGUGAAUCUGAUUUUCUUCUAACAUCUUUCUUAUUGUAGACGGGGUGUUAAGAAGCCUCAAAUCAUGGAAAAUUCUGUCACGAUCUUGUCGAAUGCAGGUCUUGGGAUGGCCAUGUUCAAUCUCGGACUGUUCAUGGCCUUGCAGCCAAGAAUCAUAACCUGUGGGACUAAACUCGCCGCAUACGGAUUGGUUGUGAGGUUUCUCAUUGGUCCGGCUGUCAUGGCGAUCGCAUCUGUUGGGGUUGGCCUCAGAGGCACAAUCCUCAGAGUGUUCAUUGUUCAAGUGGGUCCAUUGAAUUUUCAGCUCAAUCUUCAAAACACACACAAACACAUUUUCAGCCUCUUACGUAUAAUGUCAUAACAUGCAAUUUCUUCCAUUUUGUAUGAUGAAAUUGAUUUUCAGCCAUGUGCAGUGAGCUUUUGGAUCAAAGCGAAGCUAUGAAUAGGGUGUUAGUUGAUGGCAAAUUAAUAACUAGUAGAUGCACAUCCAUGGAGUUUUCACUUGCGAUUGUUGAGAAGCUAUUUGGCUGCGAGAAGGCAUUGGAUCUUGUUGUUAAUGAGAACUUUAAAUAGACAUAUAACUAUUAUGUUGGCAUUGUACUUUUGUGAAUGGAAAUGAAUGAUUGUAUAUGAUUGAA